GGUUGUGUGGUGUAGUCAUUUGGGUGUUGGACUAUGACUCUGGAGACCAGGGUUCAAUUCCCAGCUCCACCA